AUUGAACGCUGGCGGCAUGCUUUACACAUGCAAGUCGAACGGUAACGCGGGGCAACCUGGCGACGAGUGGCGAACGGGUGAGUAAUGCAUCGGAACGUGCCCGGUAGUGGGGGAUAACUGCUCGAAAGAGCAGCUAAUACCGCAUACGACCUGAGGGUGAACGGGGGGGAUCGCAAGACCUCUCGCUAUUGGAGCGGCCGAUGUCGGAUUAGCUAGUUGGUGGGGUAAGGGCCCACCAAGGCGACGAUCCGUAGCUGGUCUGAGAGGACGACCAGCCACACUGGGACUGAGACACGGCCCAGACUCCUACGGGAGGCAGCAAUGGGGAAUUUUGGACAAUGGACGCAAGUCUGAUCCAGCCAUGCCGCGUGCGGGAAGAAGGCCUUCGGGUUGUAAACCGCUUUUGUCAGAGAAGAAAUCUUCUGGGUUAAUACCUCGGGAGGAUGACGGUAUCUGAAGAAUAAGCACCGGCUAACUACGUGCCAGCCGCCGCCGUAAUAC
rnacentral:rRNA from 1 species